GGGGAAGUACUCAAGCGGCUCAAGAGGUGCCCCUGCUAAGGGUAUAGAUCGCGAAAGCGGUGCGAGGGUUCGAAUCCCUCCUUCUCCGCCA
rnacentral:tRNA from 4 species